rnacentral:ncRNA from 1 species
AGAAAUGCAAUGAUAGGGAAGAGUAGGUAUAUCUUCAAAAUACAGCGAGCCGUGUUGGUGGAAGGCGGCAUGAGAGGAUUCAUCGAAAAUCACCCUUAAGCUGCAGGCCGAAUUAAGUAAGUGCUGCCGGGAAUUCCUGCCGUUAACAGGAAACAGUAUAUAAGUACUGUAAUUGAGAUGGGCUUUUAUGCCAAAUCAGGUGGUACCGCGAAUUUACCCUUCGUCCUGUUA